AUCGCUUUCUCGGCUUUUUGGCUCAGGAUCAAGUGUAGUAUCUGUUCUUAUCAGUUUACUGAUACGCCCCAUCGGGGACUACAUAAUAAAUGUUCAGCCAGGAGCCGGAAUUGGGGCUUGCCCGUCCAGCCUCCACGCAUCGACCCGUAUUGCAGCACCUCCAACAGUGUUAAUUUU
rnacentral:snRNA from 1 species